rnacentral:ncRNA from 2 species
GAAACUAAUAAUGCUCGAUUAAGACAGCAGGACGGUGGUUAUGGAAGUCGAAAUCCGUUAAGGAGUGUGUAACAACUCACCUGCCGAAUCAACUAGCCCUGAAAAUGGAUGGCGCUUAA